rnacentral:rRNA from 1 species
GACGGAGGAGGCAAGCGUUAUCCGGAAUUAUUGGGCGUAAAGGGUACGUAGGCGGCUGGUCAAGUCUGGGGUUAAAGGCCACAGCUCAACUGUGGGAAGGCCCUGGAAACUGACUGGCUAGAGUGAGGUAGGGGUUGCGGGAAUUCCCGGUGUAGCGGUGAAAUGCGUAGAGAUCGGGAAGAACACCUGAGGCGGAAGCGCGCAACUGGGCCUCAACUGACGCUGAGGUACGAAAGCUAGGUGAGCGAAUGGG